AGUGUUUUGUUAUGUUUUCAUGUCUUGACAUUAGGAAUAUCAAUUUUUAAAGUGUGCAAUAUCUGCAUCUGAUACUGCAGUAUAAAGUUUUAUCCUUCCAUUCCUGGGUUGGAAUUGAGAAUAGUUGAAAAGGAGAAGAAAAUUAGGAGGAAGAGUAGAAUCUUUGCAACGAAAAAGUAUGGUAUUUUGUUAGGAGUGUCCACGUUUUAAUUCUGUGGAUUAUGGUAGUUUCCACUUUGUUGAUAAGCCUCCAAGUCUUGCGAAGUUAGGGUUAAUUCAAUAGUUAAAGACAUAUUACUCGCAUGAGAAAAAAGAUGCUAGAUACGUUUAUGUUCACUUUUGUCUAAGAUUAUGAAG
rnacentral:misc_RNA from 1 species